rnacentral:tRNA from 1 species
AAAUAAGAAGCAAAUUUAUUGCAUUUAAUUUCGACUUAAAAGAAAGAGUUUAAUUUAUACUCCUUAUUUA